GCUUCAAAUCAAGCCAGGGCUGACCGAAGUGCACAACAGUCGUCAUCACAUACCGUGGAUAUGAGACCCCAGGAAGCAGUAGUAAUAUCUGCUAUAGGAACUACACUGAGGUAUUUGCACCAAUCCCUCUCAGUGAUGACAGCAGUGUUGAAGACACAGAAGAAACUGUGAUAGGUGAUAGAGCUCAAGAAAGCCAUAUUACAAUAAGUAACAUCAUAGAAGAUUUAUUUCUUCAAGUCAAUAAUGCAGCCUGCAGUCGCUUUAUAAUUAAGAGAGCUGAUGUCUGGGGUGGAGCAAUGCGGGGUUUCCGUAGAAGUAACUAUGAACCCCAGAAUUCCAUUAUGGUGAAAUUUACGGAUGACAUUGGAGUCACUGAAGAAGGAAUUGAUACAGGAGGACCAAAACGGGAGUUCCUUGGUCUUCUAAUGGAUCACUUGCAUAAACGUCCCGUAUUUGAAGGACCAGAAACACAAAGGUGAGAAGAAUGACGAAUACUUCAUGGCUGGAUCAAUAACUGCUGUAUCACUGGUACAUGGAGGGCCCUCACCAAGUUUUUUGUCUGCAAAUCUCAUGAGACACAUCUUGGGCAUUGAUGAUCUCCACGCUACCCUAGAAGACAUAGAUGACCAUGAGAUCAAGGGCAUCCUUUUUAAUGUACGCAAUUCCAAAUCUCUUGAUGAACUCCUUACAAUACUUGAAAAACAAACACUUGUUUUUCAUCUGGCUGGCUGCAAGACAGUCAUUAAAGAAUUGGACGACAAGGAGAAACUAGUUGAAGACUUUCUUAAGUGGUAUAUAAUAAAAAGAAAUGCAUUUGGCGUCGAGCGGUAAGUAUUCUAAGAUUUUAUUGUCCGGUUUUAAAAUAAUGCAAUCUUUUAUCAUGAGCAAAAAUAAAAAUAGUAAUUGACUUACAUUUAUUUUGAGAUUUUAACAGAAUACGCAUAUGGGCCUGGGCCAAAUUAAAACUUUGACCCACCUGCUAAUCGCAAAUUACAAAGCCAGCAUUAAUGUUGGUUUCCCUCUGGUGUAGAAGGAAUAACCUCACAAACAAAGUAUCAGGUUUGUAAUUUGCGAUUAGUGGGUGGGUUAAAGUUUUGAUUUGGUCCAGGCCAUAGUUGACCAGAAAAAUAAAUGAUUUCCUUUAGCAUGAAUAGUAUGUGAUUACCCAGUGUUAUUCACACUUUUGCAAUUGACAAGAGUACAUCAGAGACAUUAUGGUGACCAUUUGAAGGGGCUACAAAUUAAUCACCUAGUUAGACCAGUGGUUCCCAAACCUGUCCUGGAGCCCCCCCUGCCCUCCUGGUUUUUGUUCCAACUGAGCUGCUCUCAAUUACUUAAUUUAAUAAACUAAACAAUUGAAAAGGUCUAAUUAAGCAACG